AUAUAGAGCGUGUUUGAGUUGAUCGGUGAAAGAAGUUAUAAGUGUUUAUUUUACAAAAUGUACACAAAUCCGUUCAGUCGAACGCACAGCAACGUGCGUCAAGUUAUUGAUCGCUUUCUUUCAAUCGUGAGUGACAAGAAGUCUAAAAAUGGGCUGAAGAGGAAUGGUUCAGUUACAUCUUCGUCGUCAUCUAGCAGCAGUAGUUCUUCAAACCUCAAAAUGAAUUACCCCUUUGGCAGUGAUAGGAAACUAGUUCACUUUGAUAAAUGAACAUAUUUGUGCCAAUUUGGAUAAAAUCCAGUAUUCAAAUGUCAUGGAUUUCUAUUUACAAUUUGUAACUGGUGAUCCCUGUCCAGAGAACAAAUAGAGGCAUAGGUUUCCGAUGUAGAAGAAAAUCAACUACUCAAUAAAAAGAAACUGCAACUAUGGUUACAAAACAAGGAUUCCAAUAGAAAUGGGAUUUUCUGAUUAUUAAUAGAAAUGUAGUAAACUCUAAGUGUUCCAGCUCACACUUUCAACUAGACUAGAGUAAUACAAUGAUCCAAUGUGAACAUAAGGAUAAUAAAAUUUGAACAAUGAAUUA